UCGGCACAGUUAAGCAUGGCAGAUAAACCAGGGUUCCUAGCCCUGUUGGAGAGAGAGGGAAUUGGAAAUGCCUUUAAAUAGCUCUCGGCCAGUAACCUUUUAGUUCUGAUCUCCUCAGUAAUAAUCUCUCUCCUUCUUUCUCUUUUUAUUUAAGGAUGCUCUUGUCCUGUGGAUUAUUACUACAGUAAAAUGCUCUGUGCCUGAGAUUUUUUCAAUCCCUAUGGCAGCUCUGGACAACAAUUCACGUUAAAAUUAAUGGGAACUGAAUGUCAAAUGCCCUUUUGAAGAUCUUAGCAAAAUCGAUACAUGAGCGUCUGGCACCAAACCCCACAUGUGUGUGUGCCCCAAGCCUUCUGGACGCAUGAGUCAGGCUCUAAACAUAGCAGCUGCUGGGCCUUGUGUCUCUGAUGGGUCAACCCAAAGCCCCAGAGCAAAAUGCUCUAGACUUUUGGAAGAACUUGGACUUGAAUUUGGCAGUUUGGGCCCAUUUUCGGACGCAUAGGAAAUGACUGAAAACAAUAUAAUGAAGCUGAAGGAAAAGAAGGCAGGGUUUCAGUUUUUUAAAGUUGAUGACAAAGGCACGAUCAGAAUACAGACCAAGGAGCCAGGACCUGAGGUCUAGAUUCAACAAGAUUUUAAGGCCAGAAGGGACUGUUAGAUCAUCCAGUCUGUCCUCGUCCAUCACACAGGCCAGAGAAAUUCAC